GCUUUUGUAUCAUAGUAGUAGUGUAUUUGCUUUAUAAGUGAAAGGUUGUGAGUUUGAUCCUCACUAGAGGUU
rnacentral:tRNA from 1 species